UAUGUCGGAUUAACCAACAAGAUUUUUCUAAUAUCCGCCACUAAUUAAAUGAUGUGUUGGAUAUAAUUUAUCCGAUAGGAACUUUUUUAAUAUCCGCCACCAUCAUCCGCCACCUAAAGCUAAUAUUGUAGUAGUGUAAACAUGAAAAUUUUGUAUCGAAUGAGACAAGAACACAUGUACAAAGUAGAUUUGUAUUGAUUUGAAUUUGUGGGUUACAAUCUCUAUUUACAACUUUUCCUCUGUUAAGUCUUCAAAUUUGAUGUAGAUGCAUGAUUGUUGAUCCAAGGGUUGCGAUGACUUGAUAUCGGAUGAACGGUUGAACGAUUGCUUCAAGUUUUGAGUUUGAAAACAAUGUGUGGAUGAUCUUCACCUCAAAGGGUGCGGCAAAGGUAGUGUUUAAUGCGGGAUGCUUCAAGGGU
rnacentral:lncRNA from 1 species